GGAGUUUUCCAAUGAAUCAUAGAAUAAAAGUGGAGAGUGAGGACGUGAAGAUUGAAGAAGCAUUCAGAGUGAAAAAAGAAGAUACUGAGGAACAAACAGAUGAUAAAAUCUCAAUAAGAACUACAAUCAACAAAAGAACAUUCAUCGUACCAAAAGGUCUUCAGGUCUGCUUCCUCACAGACUCGGCGUGUUGGGAUAUUGAGCACUACUUUCCAAACGCACAAUGCUGGGUUCAUCCAGACACGACUCUUGUGAGAUCCGUUCAACAACACGUGAAACACUUUGAGAAACUGCACAACUACACAAUAGUGAUUCUCCACAUGGGAACAAACGACAUCACAAGCAGAGCGUCUGCAUCGACUGUCGUCCAGAGAAUGAAAACUCUCAUAUCAAGAAUCUCACAAGUUAAUUCACACAUCCUGUAUUUCGCAAUCAGCGCUAUUUUACCACAAGUGAAAGACGACUCUACAGUCAAAACUACAACCAAACAAUGCAACAGCUUGCUUCAACACUGGUCUUCACAAACAAGAAACAUUCUAUUUCUGAACAC